GGCCCCAUGGUCUAGUGGUUAGGACGUCACUCUUUCAAGGUGAAGGUACGGGUUCGAUCCCCGUUGGGGCUACCA
rnacentral:tRNA from 1 species